CAUACAUCAUUAACACUCUGGAUCAACACUGAGUGAACACAGCAACUAUUUUGAUUUCCUGUCAUGGGUUAGAGAAGGAAGCUGUUGCUGCUGGGUCUGGAGAGACUCACUUUUGUUGGUGUUCUGAAUAUCAAAGACAUAAGAACAUGAAUUGAGGUCUGGAGGAUCUCAUCAUAUGAAGCAGCAAAUUAUGAACUCACCUCCCAUUGAAAAGCAAAGAGCAGACACGGUGGUAUAAGCAACCUCACUGCAUUGACAGUCAUAGAAAAGCACAACACAUGUGAUUAUCAAUAGCAUAUGGAAAGAGGAAGAAACUCUGGUGAGUAGACCAAUGUUCUGCAAGAAGAGAAACAAAGGCAACCUCGUCUCUGUGUUGGGCAUGUCAAAGACAGAACUGCAGGGCAAAAAUUGAGAAGAGCCCAAGGAAAAGGAGGUCCAGUGACAGGCCAAAAUUGGGAUCCAGCUCACAGGGAGACCCACCCCGCCAAGGCCUGACUCUAUCACUGAGGAGAUGGUG